GAAAUAAUUUUCCAGGAAAGAUACUUUUUUUUUUUUCUCUCUCAGAAGUGUUUAUGAUGAGAAUUAAAGUUGUAAAACUAAAAACUUUGUUCUCUGACAGAGCUGUAUUCGUACAGUAUUUUAGAAAAUUAUUUUCAGAUGCUUUUAUAGUGAAGCAGUAUGAUUAACAUGUCUCAUCUCUCCUUCUGUUGAAUUUUGAGGUAACAGUAAGAGUGUAAAACUUUCACUGCUUUUAUGGUUGGCUGUGCUGUAAUAGCUGUGUCAUUGAAGAGGGCAUUUCUUUUUGGUUUCUAGCUGAAAAUAUCAAACUCAAAAUUCUCUCAGAAUGCCCUAUUUGUCCUCUGCUGAUAGUGUUUUUAUGGCACAUGUUAAUAAUUCAUGGGGAAAAAAAAAUCAUGGUUAAAUUUCUACUACUAGCUGCCUAAAAGCAGUUUAUUGACCUUUCCAAAGGCUUUUCUUUCUUUCUUUUUUUUUGUUUUGUUUAUUGGCUUAUCCAUACUUCUUUUGAAUGUUGAGCUUUAGAGGUUCCUGAUGCAAAACGCAGCUUCUUGUUCAUGUAACGGUGAGUAACCUUGAAGUGCCCCAAGACAACAUUAAUUUCAGGAGGGAGAAAACGGAAGCAGCAAACUGAAUGGUGUCCCUUUCCUUGGGUGCAUGGAAUUUGCCUGAACCAGCAAGCUGAGUACUUCACAGCGGGGCAUGCUCUUCUUUCAAGAAUGUUUUGGAAUCAUUUCCAUUAUGCAGAAAUAUGUCAUCAGACAAGAUGACUGGGAACACUUUGAAGAAACGUCUUACCAAUGGCACUUUACAUCCAGAAAUAUACAAAGACUUCACAUACAUCAGUUCUUGCAAUAGAGCUGCGAAGCACCAAGAUUUUCCUAGCUGCACAUGAAGAUGGAUACACCAAGCUUCCUCUCCUUACAUGAAGCCAUUGCCAUGCGUCCCCUGCACCAAAUUUCACUUUUUGGUCACCCAUUCAGAUGUCAAAAAGACAAAUGGAAAAGACAAGCAGCUCCUUGGUUUUGACAACUGCCUCAUGCUGCUAGGCACACUGAUGCACUUUGAACCAUCUGGUGCAUGUGUGUGGCACGAUACAAGUUCUGUGGGCCUGCUCCUGAAGUUACAGCUCUGGGUCUUUUAAAGUAAUGGAAUAUUUGUGACAGUACAUGGGAGAAACAAGCACUAGGAAUCUGAUUUUCUAGUUUUUUUUUGGAGGGAGAAGUGGGGAAAGGGUGGAGAGAAAGAAGGCAUGAGGGAGGACCAGGUAGUCAUAAUCUGAAAGGUUUUCUUCCUUGAACUUUUUGCAUCCUAUGUGUGAUCUAAGGUCAUUUUUUGUUUUUCUUCUUUGUCCCAGGCUGUGCCUUAAAAAUUGAGUAGCUUAUGGGAUGCCUGUGUAGAAACAAGGCCCAUCUAAAAGCCAUAUUUUUCCCAUAGAAAACUUCUAAUUCCACUUCCACAUUAUUAUUCAGCUGUGUGACUGAACUGUAAGAAAGAACUUACUGUAAAAGAAGCAACAUUUGGUUCUGGCUGGGUCUGGAGGAGGACGAUGUCCUGAUGAGCCAUUAACAUCCAUGGUACCAGCAGAAUCUACACUAUCUGUAGAUCUGUAUUCUACAGUCUGCUCUCAGCACUGUUUUCUUUCUUAUCGUUCCUUCCAUUUCCCAUGUUACUGAAGCCUGGCUUGGAAAGGGUCCAGCCCUCCUCUGGGAAGCUGGUUUGCUGUGCCGAAGACACCAAUACAGACUGCAGGCUGGUGUCUAUUCAAGUUUUGCUUGUUCUGAAGCUUCUUCCAUCUUCAUAACACAUAGUGAUGGAUGCCAGCCAACAGGAGCCCUACUGACCAUGCUGGCUGCAAGCUUCUCAUACC
ensembl:lncRNA